AUCAAAGGAUCAGGAGCUCAAUGUUCCAGGAACUUCUCCAAACCCUGACAAUGCAUCCUUGGAAUGGUAAAGGUUGUUAGCAUGUUAUCAUCCCACAUUGCUCGGAUUAUAUUUGACAGAAGCUUUGCAGAGCUGAAAGUGUCAACCUCCACUUUUGUAAUCAAGUAUGUAUGUAGGUGAAGAUCGUGGAGUGAAACCCGAAGAAGGAUUUGCUGGCGAUGGAUAUGGAGGACUCAAAGGUGGUGCUUCAUCGCUUCAAUUGGCAGAGGCUGUGAACAGUCUCUCCUGGUAAUUGCUUUGACUAGAGAAAGUUCUCUUUUUUGUUCAAUGUGUUCGUUUCUUCAACAAUGGCUUGGUGCGCCAUUUGAGUCAUUUACUUUAUCUCAUUUUACUUCUUUCUCUUUUCCUAAAUGUGCUACGCUCCCUUUUCGCGAGAGGAACCACUGUAAUUGCCAAUCUAGCUCGAUUUGCGUUCGAUGGAGGACAAAUAUAGAGGUGAAGUCCUUGAAAGUGUAAUUGAGAACAUGAUGUCGAACUAAGGAGUUGGUGUUUUAUGGAAAAACCAAGAGUGAAUGAAGGUAAUACGAGUGGAAAUUUAGAGAUGACUUAGUUGCACUAGGAUUAAUGUUGUUGAAGUUUCAGGUGAAACUUCUUUUCUAGUUUAUGUAGUGGUGAUUGUACUUGAUAUUACGAUUAUAUUGGGUUGUUUAAGUGCACUAAUAUUUGUUUCAGUGGUACCUAACUUUGUUUGGUCAUAAGGAAAGUAAAACUCAUAUUUACUCGGGAUAUUAUCAUCAUCCUUAAAAAGAAAUGGAUAGUUAACAUAGAGCAAUUUCAAGGUAAUUUUCUUAGAAAUAACUUUAAACUUUACAUGAUGGAAGAACUUUCCUGCUGAUAAUUUUAAAUGCUUAAGUUGACUUUUGAGAGUCAUUAUAAGCUCAACAACAUGAUGCCUCAUACUUCGAAGCCUGAAUUAUUUUAUUCAUGAUUUAGAUUUCUACCCAACCUGUAAGUAUCAUACUAUCUUUCAGUAAAAACCACAAGAAACUAUGAAGUUCAGAUGUUGAAAGUUGUGAGGCAAAUUUGUUGCAAAAUUUUAAAUAUUCAUUUUCUGUUCUGUUUUAAUACUCAAAUUGAAAUCAGAACAAACUUUUGAGAAUCUUUAUCGGCCGAAUGCCUCCUUAGAUUAUCAAUCUCUUUCUGUCUGAAGAAAAAAUGAACUUCAUCAAGUUGCUCAACAGGCUUUGAACAUUGAUAUUUUACUUCAUGUCAUUCGGACAUCAUUAUCAGUCAUGCAUAAGCAGUGGGCCGAUGCCAUCAACAUAUUUCAUGAGAAGUUUGAUUUGCUGUCAAACCUUAUUAGCGACCAUGGCAAGUGGUACUGUUAAUACAGAGUGGUAGAUGGCGUUUCAUUUUUCUUCAUUUAACUGUUUUCGUUUGCUUAUAUAGAUCUGACUCGUCUCCUCAGGAGGAAUUUUUUAGGCUUCUCGAUGGUGCUAGGACCAAUCCUGCAGUCCAUCAGUUUCUUGUUAAUUCUCUGGGUGAAGUGUGAUAGGGUAUGAAGCGUGUAUCAAAAGUUGUCUGUGGUGCUGGAAAAGAACUUCAGCUGGUUGUCCUCAAUCAUCUGCAGCUUGCUGUAGAAAUUAUUGUCUUCAGAAUGGGUGAGCUCAGGGGUCUUUCAGGAUGGCGUUCUCGUUAUCUAGGUAUUGGUUUGGAUGAGACACUGGUGGCUAUUGCAGUAGAAAAGGCUGGAAUGCUGCUUUUACAGGUUGAGUGAUUCAUAAGGGUGCUCUCAUAUGUUGUGCAGCCGGGUCCUUCCUUAUGGUGAAUUCCUAUAUACUCUUGUGAAUUUCGACAGCGAACUUCUUGUCGUGUUCUUGAAGUUUCUACAUGAUCAAGAUCCGGUCAUGCAGCUUCUGGAUCUAUCUGAGGCUGAUGAAGAAAUUGACAUUGAUCCGUGAGUGAUUUUCUCUAACUUGUUCUAGUUCCUAAUUAUAUGUCCUUUACAAUAUGGCACCUGGAACCCCAGAAUCUUUAGUUGUUAGUUGUUUAUACCUGAUGAACGUACCAAAUGGAAUGUUUGGCAUCACCAUGUAUAGAAAGCUUCCGGUGGAAAUUCCUUGUGUACUUAUAUCUUGAAAGUUAAACUUUUUCCUGUCAUUUCAGUUCACAUAUACUUUUUUUUUGGUUGAGUCACAUAUACUUUUACUUAGGCUAAGUUGUGACAUGUCAUUAUCGUUGAUAGAAUGGCUAACCAAUGAAUUAUAAAUUUUUUCUCUUGUGAAUUAUCUGUGAGCUUUGCUCCUCGAUCUUCUUAAUGAAUUUCAUUCAGCUAAUAAGAAAAGGUUCGCCUAGCCCUAGUCAUAGAAUCAUAUGUAUCAUCCAGA